rnacentral:lncRNA from 1 species
AUUCAGGGCACAGUGAUGACAGAGGAUGUGGCUGUUCAGGUCACCGAGAAAGAAGCGAUCCUGCCAGAUCCUGCCCAGAAAGCCCGCAAAACCGUGGAGCAAGACUGUGGACUAAUGGCUGCCUUUGAAGCCGAUAAGUGGGCAGCCGAGAGAAAAGGAGACCCAUCACUGGGGCUGCCAGAAGGAGAUGGCAUUAAGAAGAGGGAGAAGCAGAGGAGAAAAUCGGUACCGAAUCGAAAAGGAUGAUGGAACUGAAUGAGUGCUCCGCUUCUCAGAGCAGCAAUUUCCAUCAAAAUGCAGUCCAAGAAAAAUAGAGAAGAUGAAUAGUAAGUG